rnacentral:rRNA from 1 species
AACGUAGGAGACAAACGUUAUCCGGAGUUACUGGGCGUAAAGGGCGUGUAGGCGGUCUGUUAAGUCUGGCGUGAAAGCUCUCGGCUAAACCGGGAGAGGUCGUUGGAUACUGGCAUGACUGGAGGAUGGUAGAGGCGUGUGGAAUUCCGGGUGUAGUGGUGAAAUGCGUAGAGAUCCGGAGGAACACCAGUGGCGAAGGCGACACGCUGGGCCAUACCUGGCGCUAAAGCGCGACAGCAUGGGGAGCAAACGGG